UACGUAGGUGGCAAGCGUUGUCCGGAUUUACUGGGCGUAAAGAGCGCGCAGGCGGCUGGUCAAGUCCGAUGUGAAAUCUCCCGGCUUAACUGGGAAACUGCAUCGGGAACUGAUCGGCUUGAAGGUGGGAGAGGGUAGUGGAAUUCCCGGUGUAGUGGUGAAAUGCGUAGAUAUCGGGAGGAACACCAGUGGCGAAGGCGACUACCUGGCCCAUUCUUGACGCUGAGGCGCGAAAGCUAGGGGAGCGAACGGG
rnacentral:rRNA from 1 species